UACGGAGGAUGCAAGCGUUAUCCGGAAUGAUUGGGCAUAAAGGGUCCGCAGGUGGCAAUGUGUGUCUGCUGUCAAAGAAUGAGGCUUAACCUCAUCAAGGCAGUGGAAACUACAUAGCUAGAGUACGGUCGGGGUAGAAGGAAUUCCUGGUGUAGCGGUGAAAUGCGUAGAGAUCAGGAAGAACACCGGUGGCGAAAGCGUUCUGCUAGACCUGUACUGACACUGAGGGACGAAAGCUAGGGGAGCGAAUGGG
rnacentral:rRNA from 1 species